AGUGAACGCUGGCGGUAGGCCUAACACAUGCAAGUCGAACGGCAGCACAGUAAGAGCUUGCUCUUACGGGUGGCGAGUGGCGGACGGGUGAGGAAUACAUCGGAAUCUACUUUUUCGUGGGGGAUAACGUAGGGACACUUACGCUAAUACCUCAUACGACCUACGGGUGAAAGCAGGGGAUCUUCGGACCUUGCGCGAUUGAAUGAGCCGAUGUCGGAUUAGCUAGUUGGCGGGGUAAAGGCCCACCAAGGCGACGAUCCGUAGCUGGUCUGAGAGGAUGAUCAGCCACACUGGAACUGAGACACGGUCCAGACUCCUACGGGAGGCAGCAGUGGGGAAUAUUGGACAAUGGGCGCAAGCCUGAUCCAGCCAUACCGCGUGGGUGAAGAAGGCCUUCGGGUUGUAAAGCCCUUUUGUUGGGGAAGAAAAGCAGCAGGUUAAUACCCCGCUGUUCUGACGGUACCCAAAGAAUAAGCACCGGCUAACUUCGUG
rnacentral:rRNA from 1 species